UUCGCCCUUAGAGUUUGAUCCUGGCUCAGGAUGAACGCUGGCGGCGUGCUUAACACAUGCAAGUCGAACGAAGCAAUUAGAUUGAAGCCUUCGGGUGGAUUUUUAAUUGACUGAGUGGCGGACGGGUGAGUAACGCGUGGGUAACCUGCCUUACACAGGGGGAUAACAGUUAGAAAUGACUGCUAAUACCGCAUAACCCGCUAGUACCGCAUGGUACAGACGGAAAAGAUUUUAUCGGUGUAAGAUGGACCCGCGUCUGAUUAGCUAGUUGGCAGAGUAAAAGCCUACCAAGGCGACGAUCAGUAGCCGACCUGAGAGGGUGACCGGCCACAUUGGGACUGAGACACGGCCCAAACUCCUACGGGAGGCAGCAGUGGGGGAUAUUGCACAAUGGGGGAAACCCUGAUGCAGCGACGCCGCGUGAGUGAAGAAGUAUUUCGGUAUGUAAAGCUCUAUCAGCAGGGAAGAAAAUGACGGUACCUGACUAAGAAGCACCGGCUAAAUACGUGCCAGCAGCCGCGGUAAUACGUAUGGUGCAAGCGUUAUCCGGAUUUACUGGGUGUAAAGGGAGCGUAGACGGAUGGCUAAGUCUGAUGUGAAAGGUGGGGGCUCAACCCCCAAACUGCAUUGGAAACUGGUCAUCUAGAGUGUCGGAGAGGUAAGUGGAAUUCCUAGUGUAGCGGUGAAAUGCGUAGAUAUUAGGAGGAACACCAGUGGCGAAGGCGGCUUACUGGACUGUAACUGACACUGAGGCUCGAAAGCGUGGGGAGCAAACAGGAUUAGAUACCCUGGUAGUCCACGCCGUAAACGAUGGAUACUAGGUGUAGGAGGUAUCGACCCCUUCUGUGCCGGAGUUAACGCAAUAAGUAUCCCGCCUGGGGAGUACGGCCGCAAGGCUGAAACUCAAAGGAAUUGACGGGGGCCCGCACAAGCGGUGGAGUAUGUGGUUUAAUUCGACGCAACGCGAAGAACCUUACCAGGACUUGACAUCCUGAGAACCCGGCGUAAUGGCCGGGGUGCCCUUCGGGGAGCUUAGAGACAGGUGGUGCAUGGUUGUCGUCAGCUCGUGUCGUGAGAUGUUGGGUUAAGUCCCGCAACGAGCGCAACCCUUACGGUUAGUUGCUACGAAAGAGCACUCUGGCCGGACUGCCGUUGACAAAACGGAGGAAGGUGGGGACGACGUCAAAUCAUCAUGCCCCUUACGUUCUGGGCUACACACGUACUACAAUGGCGCAAACAAAGGGGAGCGAACCCGCGAGGGGAAGCAAAUCUCAAAAAAGGCGUCCCAGUUCGGACUGCAGGCUGCAACCCGCCUGCACGAAGUUGGAAUUGCUAGUAAUCGCAGGUCAGCAUACUGCGGUGAAUACGUUCCCGGGCUUUGCACACACCGCCCGUCA
rnacentral:rRNA from 1 species